rnacentral:lncRNA from 1 species
UUUCUAAAUUCUGAUUGGAUGAUAAAAUGUACAUGGAUUGUGAACUUAGACCCUUGAUUAAUUUGAAUCAACGAUUCAGAUUGAAUCAAAGAAACACACCAAGAAACACACAUUAUUUAAAUAAAUCAAAAUGUAUAUAAUGCAUUUUUUAGAUGACUUAAUCGAUUUAAAACAAUUUUAAUCAAUUGAAUCAAAUCAAAUUCACAACCUUUUA